UGCUCCUUUCAGUCAGUUAUUCAACUUGACAACUCCAACUUCCCAGUUCACACUUUUAGUUUUCCUUCCUCAAGAUUCACUCAUGAUUAAUCUCCCCUAAGUUACUUUUCUUUCCAAUAUUAUUUCGAAUUCCCAAUUCCAAAAGUCUUAUUAUUAAUCCUUCCAUAUUCUAAUCAACAAAAAAAAAAAUCAAAUUGGAGAUUUUCUUUCUCCAAUUUAUUAAUACAAUUUGCCAAUUCCAGUUUUCGAUUGAUAAUUUGGAUCCUCUACUUGCUUAGAAUUGAAAAAGAGUGAGAUUUAGAAAGUUGUUGAAGAUGAAGAACAAGAAUCACAUAGCCAAAGCUAAAAUAUUAGAAGAAGGAAGUGAUUUUUACUGUGGAAAUUAUUGUUCAACGGGCUAAAAUAAGGUUUUUUUUUAUGUUUUUUGUUUAAAUUUUUAGGAAUAAAAAUGUAAUAUUCGUGAAGUAAUAUUUUGUUUAUAGCAUUUUUUUUAAAAAAAUAUUAGGGCCCCUUUUUUA